rnacentral:rRNA from 1 species
GAGAUUCCCCCAGUAGCGGCGAGCGAACGGGGAGGAGCCCAGAGUCUGAAUCAGUGUGUGUGUUAGUGGAAGCGUCUGGAAAGGCGCGCGAUACAGGGUGACAGCCCCGUACACAAAAAUGCACAUACUGUGAGCUCGAUGAGUAGGGCGGGACACGUGGUAUCCUGUCUGAAUAUGGGGGGACCAUCCUCCAAGGCUAAAUACUCCUGACUGACCGAUAGUGAACCAGUACCGUGAGGGAAAGGCGAAAAGAA